rnacentral:tRNA from 1 species
GGCGCUGUAGCCAAGUGGUAAGGCAAAGGUCUGCAACACCUCUAUCCAUCGGUUCAAAUCCGAUCAGCGCCU